AGUCGAGCGGUAACAUUUCUAGCUUGCUAGAAGAUGACGAGCGGCGGACGGGUGAGUAACGCGUAGGAAUCUACCUAUUGGUGGGGGAUAGCCCAGGGAAACUUGGAUUAAUACCGCAUAAGCUCUUAGGAGGAAAGCGGGGGAUCUUCGGACCUCGUGCCAAUAGAUGAGCCUGCGUAAGAUUAGCUAGAUGGUGGGGUAAUGGCCUACCAUGGCGACGAUCUUUAGCUGGUCUGAGAGGAUGAUCAGCCACACUGGGACUGAGACACGGCCCAGACUCCUACGGGAGGCAGCAGUGGGGAAUAUUGCACAAUGGGCGCAAGCCUGAUGCAGCCAUGCCGCGUGUGUGAAGAAGGCCUUAGGGUUGUAAAGCACUUUCAGUGGGGAGGAAAGGUUAUAAGUUAAUACCUUAUAGCUGUGACGUUACCCACAGAAGAAGGACCGGCUAAUUCCGUGCCAGCAGCCGCGGUAAUACGGAAGGUCCGAGCGUUAAUCGGAAUUACUGGGCGUAAAGCGCACGUAGGCGGCUAGGUCAGUUGGGUGUGAAAGCCCCGGGCUCAACCUGGGAACUGCAUCCAAUACUGCCUGGCUAGAG
rnacentral:rRNA from 1 species